UGUCACAGACAUUUCUGAAUGAAGGAAGGUGUCACUUCUGUUUUCCAAGUAAAUGCUGUUGAUUCUUUUCAUAGACUUUGUGUGCUUAAAAUCAGAGUUUUUCCAUAGUCGGAUCACCAGUGUGGGGUCUCAGAAAUACUUGACAUUCUGAAGUGUUCGCGUGGGAGUUAAAGACCCGAAGCAUAUUCUAGGGAACAGGAACUGAGGCAGGACAGAAAUGAUUAGAUACAGCCCAACACGAGUUCACCGUCAAGUUCUGCUCCUGUCCCGGCUGUGUGAUCUUAGAAGGGUCACUGGACUUCUUUGUACCUCAGUUUCCUUGAAUCUAAAAUGAGGAAACUAAUUUUACUUCACGGGGAGCCCUGUGAGGAUGGAUGGAAAGUGCCUGGUAUAUAGGAAGUGCUCAGAGUUUGCAGAAGAAUUAAAUGCCAUCAAAUAUGGGAGGCCACUGGCACAGCCUGACACACAGUAGGUGCUUAGUACGUUGGAAUUCUCACCUGCUUUCCUCACAUUUCCUCCCAGAUAUCCAGGUAGGACGUCUGUGGGGAAACAAACAGUGAUGGCUCUGAUCAUCUCAGUGCCUCCCUCCAGCCAGAAGACCUGUGCACCAACUCUGUUAUUCACCACAUCUCCAAGGGAGGUUCCCAGCACUGGCCCACACCUUUCCCGGGCAGCUGGUGCCCAGACUUGGACACACUGUCCCUCGUCUUGUAAGGGUAUGCUCCCUCUGACCCUGUAACAGAGGGGAACAAUGGAGGUUGGGUCCAAUCACCUGGGGCCAAUGAUCUAAUUACUCUGUUGGAAUGCAAUUCCACGGUAUGUUUAACUGUGUCCCUGUCCAGAUCACCUCUGCACUGGGCAUUCGUGCAGCUUGCUGAGCCUUCUGCCCGUGAGUUCCAGCCUGUACCAAGUGAUGCUACCGGGCAUUUGCCAGAACCCUUUACUCAAUACCAUCUUCUCCAAGAGCUUGCCAGAGGCCACUGUUUGAAAAUCUGGGCUACACAGAUGAGCUCUGAGGCACACCUGUUCAACAGCUCUCACUACUCCAGUCUCCUGUGGACAUCACGCCUCUCGUUUUCUGCCACAUGCCCUAUCUGUAAAAACUGCUGGAGACGCUCUAUUUCUACUCCCAAUUCCCUGGUGUGGGUUUCUCUCCAUACUGAGCAAUUCUCCGACACCAGCUGGGUGUCCUAAACUUCAACUCAAUUCUGACACCGUCUCCCUGGCAAUGUCAUCCCAGGCUUCAGGCAAUGCAUUGUGCGUUUUGUUUAUAUACAGGCAUGUUGACGGACUUUUACUCUCAACGCAAAUGAGACAGGAAACAUCACUCAGCGGACAGGUGUCAUCAUUGCUCUUGGAAAAUGAAAAGUGCCAAACUCUGCAUUGAUGCAACUGGAAGGCAAGUGAAGCAAGGUCCUAGACCCAUUUGUUGACAAAAGUUCCAGAAAACUGAUGGACACAGUCAUUCUUUAUUUGCAUGACAGAAAGAAUACCUUUUCUGCAGUAACUCCUUCCCUGGCUGGACUCUGGGGCUCAAAUCGCCUCCCAUUCAGAGCUGCCCAGUGGCUUUCCUGGGAUAUAUCUGUGUCUGGCGUGGUGGAGCGGAUCAGGGCUUUCUUCCCUAAGCCCCAGCUUUGCAUGCCCAAAACCACAGACUUCUUUUCGGUAAGACCAAUGAGCAGGAAUUCCUAGGGCCCUGAGAAGUACUUCUUUUUCCAGUUCUAACUACUGGUGGAUUUGGGCUGGCUCUCUGGGUCACGCAUUAGCCAAAAGAGAGAGACAGAGACAGAGACAGAGACAGAGACAAUCCAUCCCUUUGGGGAGUCCUGAACACCCGCCCGAUUAGCUGUUUGCUGACAGUAGAUCCUUCAGAGGAACCAUUCAGAUCUGAGAGAUGCCCAGCUUCCCCGUGUCCCCAUGCCACAGCCCACCUAGAAAGCCAGGUCUGACAGGUGAGGGAAUCAAUGACACUCCAGCUGCCUCCGAGGUAAUCCUCGAGGAGAGACUUGCCAGGUGGACACUGAUAAAGAAGACAGAUGACUGAGUGCCUGACUCCACAGUCAUCAAUAAACGCUGACAGUUGGUGCAGAAGAACCAAGUUGCCAGAGAAAGAGGGGGAGGUCUGCAGCUAACUGUGCAGGCACAGGCCAGUCACUUGCGUGUUCACCUGGUGUCACUGACGUCACGCGUCCUCAGAAGGAGGGCAUGGCGUCCCCACGCCUCCAAUACUGACCAGGAAGUCAAAACUAAGCAAAAUAAAACUUGCUUCAUAUUUUUAGCUCCCAAAGCCACUGAAGGCUGGAACAUUGAAAUGACUCCAGUUUAUACCCCUUGGCAAAAAGUGUGCUGCAUAUUUUAGAAAAUCCCUUAUUGUUUGCAGAAAUUUUGAAAGAACACCCAAUUUGUGGCUAUUUCUAAAUGUGCUCCUAUGCCAUAGUUAGAGGCAUCCUCCGGAGUAAGCUGCCCGAUGCCAAUCAGGAGUAGACCUGAAGCAUUUUUCUUAAUUUUAGCAAUAACUGAUACAAAAGCUCAAACCACACUCUCAAUAUUUUAUCAUCAGUUGGUAAAGCAUCCACAAGACAAGGCAUUCUUGUUAUCUCUUCUCCCACUCACGGUCGUCGGUUCCCUGCCUCCUGGUCUGUGGGGAAACGUAUGGCAGGAGGAAAGUGAGGGGCCUCGCUGAAUGUGCUUCCCAGGCUGUGGUGUGCAUCGAACAAGGUGACAGAUUGACACUGGAGGCCAUAAGCUCCAGUGUCCUACCCAUGCUGUUCGUUAGCAGUAGGAGUGCUUUUUCUAUCAUGCCAAAACUGGAAUGUCUUUCCUGAGCUCCCCAGCCUGGGUGAACCUAUUCUAGAAUGUUCUGUGUGCCCUUCCAUCAGAGCACUGUUCUCACUGCAUUAUCAUUGUCCACCCCCACCCCCACCCCGAAGGAAAACAACAUAACUUACAGAUCCUUUGAGCCACAGUGCCAGGAAAGGGUGGGUGUUUUAAGUGCUUUAGAUAAAGACAGACUGGAGGAAUGAGCAAAGGAAACAUACAAAUGUGAAGAGACCCUCCUGUUUCCUAGUCCAGGGGGGCAAGCGGGCAGACUGUUGUUCUCAUCAGACUUGGUCAGUGGAGAUUCAGCUGCCCUUCCCUGCGGAAGGCCCUCCCAUAUCAACAUCACUGUGGGAAAGGGACUUGCUCGUUCCUGCAGAUUCCCUCACAUGCACAGCACAGGGGAGGAUUACUCUCUCGGGGUAUCCCUUACUGCUUUAGUCAAUCCGGGUGCUCUGUUUGAAAUCCAGCACGUGAGAAGGUCUGGGUAAAGUUGCUGGGAUGGAAGAAAACCUUGGUAUUGACUUAAGACGGUGGUGUGCCAGAGCCAGCUCAUACUGGAGGGAGAGUGAGACAGAGAGAGACACAGACAGAGAGAAUUGCUAAAUUCCCAGGAAUUUCACUAACCAGUUGAUAUCAUGCUGAUAUCUUGACAUUGGCAAUGGUUGGCAGUACUCACCCCCUGAAAAUUGGUCACUGCUGCAACUGAGACCUCUUCUUUCCUUCCAGGGUGCUUGUUGUUAAAUAUUUACCAACACACCCCUAACUUAAGGUUGCAUUCAAGUGUGGAAUUCACGAUUUUGCUGGUGCUUUCUGAAUUAUAUUCUUUUCUCCUCCUCCCAAGGUGCCUUUGAAUUCCACCCCAUCUGCUCUUUGUGUGUACUUCUGGAGAAAUCCUAGUGUUAGGUUCACAGAAGUCAAAGCAAUAGAUUGUUUGUUUGUACAAAGCCUUUCUAUUGUUUGAAGUGAUUUCACAGCCGGUUCUUCAUUUUGAUCUGUACCACAACCCUGAGAAGGACAGAGUUCAUACUCUUAUUUCCAUUUUGCAGAUGGGAAACCUGUAGUUCUGAGUGGAUCUAUGGGAAUGAUGGGGCAAGGUAAGGGAGAGGACCCAGGGAUUUUCCCACCACUUUGCUGCCUCCUGAAGUCACUAGACAAAGCAGCCACUAUUCCUAGGACAGACUGUGGCCGGGGAGAGCCAAACUGCAGUGAGAGCAGAAACAGCUUUUAUGUGGUUUGGGGCUGCAUUCUGUGAUUCUUUAUGUAGAAGCAAAUUGUCCUUUUAAUUAUUGUGUGGGCUGUACUGAAAUAGAGGCACAUUCCUUGAGCCACUGGCAGCAGCCAGAAUGGCCCAGGUGUUCAGCCUGAAGAUCCGCCAAGUUUCAAACUUGAUGCUUAUAAUCGCGAGUGGUAUCUGGGUUUCUACGCAGAAUGUUUUGUUUUUUCAACUAGGACUUUGGAAUAUUAUAAAUGGGAAGCACGAUGGAAUCACCAAGCCAGUCACAGUGUAUUCUAUUAUGAGAAGGAGCUGGGGACAAGGUAGUAGGUAGGGGACAGUGAUCAGAGGGUGUUCACUGAGCCAUUGAGGGACCCCGUCCUGUCCACCCUGAUCCAUUUCAGCCCUGGGAACCUCAUCACCGUUUCAAAGGGUAAGCUCACUUGGUUGAAUGGCUGGGACUUAUUUUUUGAAAAUGCCCUAUUUUCUCGCAUAAGGUUGAGGCAAGGAAGCAUGUUGGCCUAUACAGAACUGGGGUCUCCAGACAGUCGAAGCAAAGAAAAAGCCAGACCCCUAUCACAUAUUCCUCUUUAUCCUUCUACCUUGGGGCCGGGGUGACCCUUGCCUACUUGCCACUGCAUAUGAAUGACCUGCCAACAAGAUUUCACCUUACCCUCCUGGAAGAUGAAGAAGGGCCACACAAUUCCCAGAGUGGGGGUUGCUGUCUCCCUUGUGCCCCUUCUCUCCUUUUUCAUAAUGUCACUCAAAUUCCUCGUUGGGGAACUUCUGCUCUUUCUUGUCACGUUGUAUUUGUGGGGCUAAGAGUCAGUCUUAGUGGGAUUUUUAACCAAGAGCUUCUCCCCUCUCUCGGCUAAAGGGAGACCCCGGACCCCCCUCCGUCACUCAGACUCUCUGGCCUGAGAUCCAAACACAGUUCCACGAGGGGAAUCGAUCAGUGCUAGCUCAUCCCACAGGCCGAGACGUGAGCUGCCCAUCCGCAGGUUCCUGAAACUUUGCCCUGGAUCCUGGUUUAUCUGUGGACUGACUAUCCUUCCUGAGAGUUGCAUUUCUCCUGGCCCCCCGAGAAGAAGAGCCCCUCCACUCCGGAGUACUCAGAGACCACACAGCAGACCUCCCUGCCACCUGCUUUUCUCAUAGUCCUUGGACUUCUCAAGACCACAAGAAGCACACACAGGAGGAAACUGCUUAGCAACUGCACGUAGGAAAUUAGGAAUCCAAAACAUUACUGCGAGUUUCUUCUUCCCUACUUCGUUCUCCUAUGUCGUUUUCGGUUGUUCGCGAUUCAGUCAUUGUUCCAUCACACGACACGCUAACUGGUUCUGCAGGGUCCAGGAUGGGAGCUGCACGGAGGCCCUGCUUGCCUUCCUGGGGGGCUGCAGGCAGAGGUCCUAGGGCAUGGCCCCAAAGGGCUGGCUGGCUGGGGGAGGGGGAUGCAGGGGCUUGGGCUUGGGCAGCCCUAGAGUGAGGCUGUGCUCAGGCCCCUGGG